UACGUAGGGGGCAAGCGUUGUCCGGAUUUAUUGGGCGUAAAGAGCGUGUAGGCGGCCUGAAAGGUCAGCUGUGAAAACUCGAGGCUCAACCUCGAGAGGUCGGUGGAAACCGUUUGGCUAGAGUCCGGAAGAGGAGAGUGGAAUUCCCGGUGUAGCGGUGAAAUGCGCAGAUAUCGGGAAGAACACCCGUGGCGAAGGCGGCUCUCUGGGACGGUACUGACGCUGAGACGCGAAAGCGUGGGGAGCGAACAGG
rnacentral:rRNA from 1 species